rnacentral:lncRNA from 1 species
AAAGAAAGAAAGAAAGAAAGAAAGAAAGAAAGAAAGAAAGAAAGAAAGCAAACAAAGGAAGGAAGGAAGGAAGGAAGGAAGGAAGGAAGGAAGGAAGGAAGGAAGGAAGGAAGGAAAGAGGGCAUUGCUUCAAAUCUGUUGGAGAUAUGUAAUUUAAAAAUCUCAUUGGAUAUUUCUAAUACACUACUAAUGAUACCUUAGAAACUGGCUCAAUGAUAGAGGGAUUUCUAAGCAGUGUAAUUUCUACAUUCGAUGAACAGCUCCAUGAAUAUGCAAUAUAAAGAAUGAUUGCAGCUAACAUUGUUUCUAAUAAGGCUUAUUCCAAUCUCUGGGUUGCUUUUAAUAAUCACAUAGUCAUUCAGAAGAUUUGUUCUCCUGCUCCAUUUUGAAGGCUGUUCUGUGCUUCAUAAAAUCAGUUCAUAUAAAACCACUGAGUUGAUUUUUCAUUUUGCCUUUUCUGGAUACCUAGGGAUACAAUUGCAACUUGUCAUUUAUUCUAUAUGCAUUUUUGAAAGAUAACAUUUUUUUGUAUUUUGGGGCUGUUGUAAAUAAAAUGCUGUAAUUACAUAGCUUAUAAACAACAAACAACUGUCACAUCCCAACCUAGAGGCUGAGAAGGCCAAGUAGAGCCAGCAGAGGUGGGUUCUAGUGUGAGCACACACUUCCUGCCUCACAGAUGAUGGUCUUGCUGUGCUUUCUCCUGUCAGAUGGGCAAAGGAUGUUCUUGGAGGCCUCUUUUAUGAGCACAAUAAGCCAAACCUGAGAGUCAGAGCCCUCAAUGUGAGCCCUUCACACAGGCUCCGCCACCACACACCCCCGUCUUGUGACUAAAUCUCAACAUAAUGGACUGGGAGAGUGGAUGGCACAAGGGUUCUGACUGUCACACCUGGGUGCGUGUCAUUCAAUAAGAGCAAUGAUGACUUGUUCCACCUAGAAAGUGCUCUGAAUAGAGAGGCAUCUCAAUGCAAUUUCUUCACCAUUACUCACUCAUCUUUUUGUGAUAUCACUUUCCUUUAUUAUCCAGAAACAUAAGUGGAGGAGGGAGAGCUACAGGGCAUGGAUCCACAGAAGAGGAAGUAGGAUAUCACUGUGAUAUAUUCUUUGUUUGUUUGUUUGUUUGUUUGUUUGUUUGUUUGAACUGAGUGUCAGAGAUCCUAGCAGGGUUCUACUCUAUGGACUGGAUGCCUCUUCUGUGAGGUCUUGAAUUCAUGGAAGUGAUUAAAAUCUGAUUUGGAUAGAUUAGCAUAUCUCAGAGAUUUCUAAUUAACUGAGAUUCUCUUCCCCUUGUCUUUUUUUCUCCCUCUUUCUUUUCAUUUUCAUUUUCAUUUUUUUUCUUGCCUUGAUUUUUGUUUUUAUUAAGUCAUUUUUUUUCUUUGUUAGGCAGAAUCUCACAUCAUAACCCCAAAUGACCUGUUACUCACCAUGUGGCCCAGCUGUCUUCAAACUCACCAGCCUCCUGCCUUAGCCUUCUAAAUGCUUGGAUUACAGGCAUGACCCACCAUAACUGGCUUUGUUUUAGUUUCAGAGAAGAUGAAACUGAUGUGCGUCAAAAAGUUAUGGAGGCUGGGAAGACCUAGAAUGUGGCAUCACUAUUUGCUGAAAUUUUUAAUAUAAUGCCUCUUAGCCUGGUUUGGAGAAAACGUCACAGAGAGGCACCAUUUGUUGUGGUUUUACAUGAAAAUUUUCUGACCCUGAACCUGGUUUGAUGGAAAUCAUUUGCUGAGGAAACCAUGCCGAUUACCGACCGAGCUCUCAAUGGAAAAAUGCAGUCGGCGUGAACCACGCACGAACACAGCAGAGAAAGAAGAAAACACACACCACGAGGAACCCUAAUAGGACAAUACAUUAUAAGCCUCAUGGUACAUCCACUUGGUGUGCUGGGAGAGUCAGGAUGAGGACCUGAGAAGAACAGCAGCUUGAACCUGACUUCAUUUAACAGCCCACUGCCCUCUUGCCAAGAACCCAUCACAGACCUUCCCAGAAGAGAGGGAUGAGCCUCACCUAUGAAUAAGUCCUCAGAAACUCAAAUUUGAUUCUAAUGGAUUGUUUUCUCAGAAAGACUGAGCAUGUCCCCCCACAUCUCUGUCAUUUCCCACAGUAGUAACCUCUGCAGAUGCCACAUAGAAAACAAAACAAAACAAAAAAACAUGAGGUUGGUGGGCAGAUAGGCAGGGUAUAAACAAACAGCCUUGUAACCCAGAAGCUGUGUGAUAUACAGUAAACUUCACAACACUGAAAAGAUGUCCUAUCUGUUAAAAUGGGGUAAUAACAACUACCCGAAUGUUUAGGAAUAGAACUUCAAUAAAUGAUACAUUUUAUAGUACAGCAGACCAUCCUGUAAAGGUUUCAUCCUUCACUGUGGUGAUAAAUAUCCCAAACCACAUUGAAAAGCAUUGCAUCUACAUUUAUCUACACUGUAACUGUACUGUAAAUCAUGGGGGAGGGGAGAAUCAUAAAAACACCACCUGUCACCGUGUCAUUAAAGCAAGUUGGAAGUGAUACUUACAGAAACACAGCAAGAGCACCCCCAGUCACACAGUUCAAUCUCUUAGCAAGCGUUUUCUUUCUAGCCCAGUGGUUCUCAGUUUGGAAUUUUUGGCACUGCCUAGAGAUAGUUUUGUUGUUAAAACUGAGAAAAGAGCCGGGCGUGGUGGCACACGCCUUUAAUCCCAGCACUCAGGAGGCAGAGGCAGG